AUGGCUGGCCAUAGUGCCUACUCUCCAGGGGGCUCUGCCCAGUGCCCUGAGCCCCCAUGCACAGUGCACCUGCUCUCCAGCAGCUGCCUGGCCGCCUGGUCCACGACGCCCCCGAGCCCGGGACGGAGGCGGCCAGGCGGGAGCGGGCGGAGGAGAGCGGAGCCCGCGCCACCGCCGCCGCCGCCGCCGCCGCGACCCCGGGCGGCCGCCGCGCUUUGUUGCAUCGUGGCCGCGCACAAAGGCGGCGGCGGCGGCGGCCCCGGGCGCCCGGGCCACUGCCGCCAUGGCCUCACCAUCUCCUCCCUCUUCUCCCGCCUUGUUGGCGAGAAAUAGGUGUGCAUUUUGAUGUUUGGACUGGAUGCUGCUGGCAAGAUGACCAUUCUGUAUAAACUGAAGUUAGGGGAGGUAGUCACCACCAUUCCUACCACUGGUUUUAACGUGGGCACAGUAGAAUAUAAGAACAUUUGUUUCACGGUAUGGGAUGUUGGUAGUCAAGAUAGAAUUAGACUCUCUGGAAGCAUCACUUUAAGAAUACUCAGGGUCUUAGUUCUCUGGUGGAUAGCAAUGGUCAUGAAAGAAUUCAGGACGUAGCAGAUGAGCUGCAGAAAAUGCUUCUGGUGGCCGGGCACAGUCGCUCACACCUGCGUGAGCCACCAUGCCCGGCAGUGCCGCUGCUUUUUGCAAACAAACAGGAUUUGCCAAAUGCUGUGGCCCUCAGUGAAAUGACAGAUAAACGAGGGCUUCAGCUUCUUCGUAGCAGAACACUGCAUGUUCAAGCCACCUGUGCAGCACAAGCAACUGGUUUGUGUGAGGGACUUGACUGGCUGCCAAAUGAGCUUCCAAAAUGUUAAAUGACACCAGAUAUCUAACCAAGGACAUGUUUGAUAAAAUUGGUCUAGGCUUGUUACAACAAAAUUAGUUUGUAUCUUGGUUAUUAAACAGUGUCUGGGCCUGGUUUGGGCAGAAUAUGAAACUUAUUUUGUUGCUAAUUAUUGUUUACCAAGUAUAGUGUUGCUAUUCAGCAAUAUACUUGGUUUUAAGGAAAUUCUCCUUGGGAAAAAAGUAUCCUCUUUUAAUUUUACUUCCCAUAAGCCUAAAUGCCUGGACAUAGCUAUUGUGAAACCUUCAAAUAAAUCCAUUUUGAGCA